UUUAAUAUGGCAGAUUAGUGCAAUGGAUUUAAGCUCCAUAUAUAAAGUGUUACUUUUAUUAAAA
rnacentral:tRNA from 2 species